ensembl:lncRNA
CCCCCCCCCCCAAAAAAAAAAAAAAAAAAACACCACUGUUGCAGAUGAUGUUUGCAGAUAGCUCCUUCUUCUAGAUGUCUAAAGCUCAGUUGGUGACAAUAUGAGACCUAAGAACCCUUUGCAACUGCUUUUAUUCUCUUUUUUAUUUUACAGUGUUGGACUAAAUUCAGCCACACUGUUAUACACCAGUACAAGAGGCCUUUCACUGCAUUAGUUGGUGCUAUAGGCAAUUCACAGUGUCAGAGCAAUACUGAGACAAUGAAGCUCUUGCACAAAAGAGAAGACUCUACUAAAAAUGAAUGAUGUUUGAUUAAGAGGAAGGGGAAUCUUGUUUGUCAAAAGAACUCUGAAGUCUAAAAUAGCUCAGCCAUAAAUGUAGCUGUUUCUGUCCAUUAACUGUCUAAAGAUAACCUACAGUGAAUGUCGGACUGAAAUGUCUCUAGAACACUGGUCUUAGAUCAUACAGGAUGAAUUCCGCUGCAAGACAUGUUUAGUAUACAUCAGCAAUCCCAAUUAACUACCCUUCCACACUCCCCAGCCAAGUAUCAAAUAGGUACAACCACUUGCAACACACAGAUGUUCUCAUGACCACAGAUGCAAUAUUACCUUUCAUACAAACACACACACACCAUACACAGCCAUGGUUAGGAAUGUUUUGCAGAUAUCUACUCCAUACAUCUACAGUCCAUCCACGGUACAAACAAAACACGUACUGAGAAUGUCUUGGAAAGGACACAUUAAUCUGAGAGGGUGCUGCAUGUUUCCUAAGGAACAAUCUUAGUGCAGGAAGACUGAAAGAAUGCAGUCAUCCUAUUGUGAGGAAGGGAAGGAAGACUAUGAGGUCUUUAGUGGAACCCAAGUUGGUGCCACACCCUCCUGAUAACCAUAGCAGAUGGGCAUUGGGCUCCAGACAUUUCUCAGUGCACAGAAGAAUGCAACAGCAUGUGUCAGGUUUGGCAUGUAUGAAAUAUGGCAGCUGCAAAUUAUUUUGCCCAUAUGGGAGUGUUUGGGUACACAAAGGAGUCUGUCUGAAAGAAAAAAAAAAAAAAAAAACAGAAAAAUGGCUCAGGAGGGAAAAAUGAAGAAUUUAAUGACAACUGAUCAAUGUGAAGAGAGACACAGAGGAAUAUAAAAUGACACAAUGGCAACAGGUCAUGUGCAUUCCUUCACUUGGGAUGCCAGUCCUACAUCUGGAGUAAGGUGCAGUCAAGGAGCUGCUGAGAAAGAGCAAUGAAUCUUGCAGAGGAAUGGAUUCAUCUGAUUGGAAAAAGGUGUACAUACAGGUCUGCACAUCAGCUCUCAGACCCCUCUAGCCUUGGGACUAGUCUCUUUAGAAGAGGAGAAGCAAAGGACAUUUCCUGGAUUUGCCUCACAAUGUUCACUACAUGCUGUUUGAGUAGCUGCUCUCCCCGGACAAUGGUAAAUGCAUUAGAUGCUUCAAUGUGUGAUUAUCACAUUUCAUGAUUGUAUUCCACAGGCCACGCAGAAUUUCUGUGCAGAACCACGCUUCAGCUACAAACGAGAGUUGAAAAAUGUAUUCUCUGCACUUUCUCAAGAAGCCUACUGAUCUGUGAUCAAAAGGAAGGUCUCCGAGGUCUUAGGCAUAUGCAGUGAAUAUUAGAGGUUGCAGGCAGAGUAGAACACUGGAUGCUUGCCCGUGCACUGAGUAGAAGGAAACCAAAGACUCUCAACAUGGCUCAUUUUGUUGUUUCUGAUGCCAAGCACAUGAGAUUUCUGCUAAACGUUGAUGAAUUUAGCAUGCUGUUCUUCCACUUCUUGGAAAGAAAGCUGUUUUGUGAAGGACUGGGUUCAGUGUUUGGAAUAGGCAAAAAGCAUAUAGGCCCUUUGUCCAAUCCAGACAGAAUGCAGUGCUCAGCCCAGGUCACCACACCAAGCACCAUGGCUGCUGUGGUGGUCUUGGCUGCAGGCUGCUGCCAAUCUGUGAAUCUGUGUCACUCACAGGCUGUGAGGCAAAAGCAGUGAGAAGGAAAAAUCUUUGUGGGUGCAGUUGUGUGUGUGAAACAGCUUUCACGUGUGGACAAGUUCACGUGUUAUCAUCACUAGUUUGCUCACCAUGUGCUUCUGUGAUAAUGGUGCCUUCAACAGCAUUAAGUGGGUUAGUAGGCAGCAUGGUCCACUUUUUCCCUCCAACACACACAAUGAUCAUCCCUGCCUCAGGUGAGAAUGGCUGGGAUCAGUGAGGCGUGAAAAGGAGAUUGCACAAAUCCCUGUCAGCCACUGCCCAUGAUGUAUCACCAUUCUCAAUAGGUUGAAAAACUUUAAAGGAAACUUCUAACCACACUCCUGUUCUCCCAAGACUUCACCUGGUACCAUGACUACAAAGAGCAUAAACUGAAAGAGUUCACUGCAUGUGUCAAGUCCCAAAAAUCCCCAACAUCUUCACUGUUCCAACCCUUUCCUUUACUCUCCCGUAUUAUACCUUCCUCUGUCCCGUGUCAGGAAGGAGUACCUAACCCCAACUCUAUGGCCUAGGAGAUCAUGGGUGCACAGAUCUCACGAUGGCAGCUGCAAGUGCUAUGACUGAUCUAGAUUCUCUAAGGACAAUCCUGGAAUAAGAGGAUGCUUGGAGAAAAAGGUCACGCUGUCUGAUACUCUCAGUGAAGAUGUAACAUGUGCCUUCAGUACCAUUCAAGAAGUGUCACUCUUCUGUCCAUGCAGUCCUUAUUAUUUGCCAGGAUUUGCAUUACUUGAAAAUAUGGAUCUUGGUAAGCACAAAGAAAUUGCAAAUAUCCUAGGUCCGUUUGCAAAAGGGAGGUAUGGCAAUUACGAUAAAGGUACAAAGAAAACGCACAGAAGCAGAAUAAAUGGAGAUGUCUCUGCUUUCUGCCCACCCGUGGUCAUGGGUAACACAGAGGUUCUGCAGGACAUCUGGAAGCAAAGACAAAGACACACAUUGUCACAGUAACAUGAAGGUGGAGGGGGGGGGGGGUGUUAAUUCUCACCAAAUGGCAUCACCAAAUUCUGGAGGCUGUUUUGGAAGAGGUGUCACUCCACUCAGUAGGUGCCCAAAUUGAGGCUAUGUGCUUUCUUGCCUGCAGGAGCCUCAGUGCUCAGCUUGGCCACAAGGAUGUGACAAAGUUCAAACAUUCACCAUGCUUUCCAUUAGCUUUGACCAUCACUGGGGGUGAAAUAAAUCAUUCUUCCUCAUAAAGUUUAUAUCUCUCAGACAAGGCAUUAGGCAAAAACAAGAAAUGCUCUGUGUUCAUUAAAGCUCUGCUGAUGCUUUUAACAUUGGUAAAUCCACCCAUCCUGGGCAAUCACAUUGCAUCUUUCACUGACCCAUGAGUAUAACCCUGGACAUGUCUGACUUUCUACGGGGAUGCUAAGCUGACAGAGGCAGUACAAUGCUCUUUAUUCUGUGCAGUAAGAGGAGCUCUGCAAUUUGUUGCUGUUUUCUGCUGGCUAUCACAGCACAACAACGUGUAAGCAGCAGCAAGUUUCUCACCAAUGGCACCGGCUCAUUCACUCUGGGUACACAACAUACACACAACUGUGAAGCUCGGGACAAUGUUGCUACAAACCAAAAAAAUCCAGACACAACAAUUGUGAAGACAAUCAGAGAACUUACACUCGCUUUAAAACAGCACCGUGAAGGUCCCUAAUUUACCAUACUUCACCUGUUGCAGACCCCCUGAAGGAGGGCACCCACAGAGGUGCGCAGAGGUGAUACGACGGGGCAGCGCCCCGCACCCAGCGCCACGGCUCUGCCUCCAAACCGCGCUGCGCGUCACGGCCCGGAGGGACGGAAACGGGGCGGCCCCAGCGCCUCCCUCCCGGCCCGGCCCCCCGCCGCCCCGCACCUGGCUUCACGUCGCAGCCUGGCUGCUUCCCUUUACACAGAAGAAGUGUACCAGAUAUAUCAUGUAUGACUGGAUGGCCAAGUGGUUUGCAGCAGCAAAAGCUCCAGAUGCACAGAGGGAUGAUACCCCCAAGCUGACUUCUGUGAGGCUUGGUGGUCCGCCAGGUUGCAGGGCUCCUGCCUGGCCCAUGGAAACCUGAAAGCCCCACCGGAAAAGAUCUACAUGAAACUCCUGGUAGUCUCAAGACUCUCUGCCUGGACCUUCAGCUGAUGUAGGAUCUCUGGUCAACUACUUAGGUUGACCAAGUUUUCCUGUCGUGUCCAGUACCUCUACCAUGAAGGGAGAUGGAAUAAACAGAGAUAAACCUUCAGGAGCUGUCCCUCCAGGACGUACUCAGCAGGAGAGUGUCCUGAGAAGAGAGUAGAGAAGAAACAGAUGUUUAAAGCAGUCAUCUAUCUGGAGUGACCGAGGUACAACUGUCCUUUCCUGAGAUGGAAAUACGAGCUAACUGACCUCACAAGGCCCCCGUUUGACCUGCUUUUUUAUGAUUUUUUCCAGUUGCACCAGGCAGCUGACUGAGCCCUCAGCAUUCUUUGGGUUGGCAGUGUUCACUAACACAACUCAGGAGUGGCUCAAGUGAGGAGGCCCCUACAUCUACUCCGUGUGUAGCUUGGAGGCAUGACCUCAGACUUUGUGAUGAUUCAAAUUCAUACACAGGACCAGUUGCUGGUCUACUGCCCCAUGUCAGCCAGGCGCAGGUACCCUUGUGGAGAUGUCCGUCCAGAAAAAAAGCUUAUGUAUUAGGUUCCUCUGAAUAUGACCUCCACUGCAAACACCAAAACUGAACACAGUAAGAUGGGGAUAAUUGCUUGCAAACUGCCUUGCUGCUCUGAACCAGCGCACGAACCCCGAAGAAACCUAACGUCAGGUUUCAUCGUGGCGCGAAAGCCCCAGUGCGUUCCGUGCAGCCGGAGGUGGGCUUGUCUCGGCUUGAACUCCAUCUCCUCUGGCCAAAGAGACCCUCGGGGACUCGGCAUCGCCGCGGGGCUGCCGGAGCCCGCCGGAGGGCGAGGGGCCCGAGGGCGCCAGCAG